rfam:Stegodyphus mimosarum contig7566, whole genome shotgun sequence.
GCCUUCGUGGUGUAAUGGCCAGCACACUGAGCCGGUAUUUCAGAGGUCCGUGGUUCGAUUCCCGGCGAAGGAA